rnacentral:rRNA from 1 species
AUACGGAGGGUGCAAGCGUUAAUCGGAAUUACUGGGCGUAAAGCGCGCGUAGGCGGAUAUUUAAGUCUCAUGUGAAAGCCCUGGGCUCAACCUGGGAACUGCAUGGGAUACUGGCAAUCUAGAAUACAGUAGAGGGUAGUGGAAUUUCAGGUGUAGCGGUGAAAUGCGUAGAGAUCUGAAGGAACAUCAGUGGCGAAGGCGACUACCUGGACUGAUAUUGACGCUGAGGUGCGAAAGCGUGGGGAGCAAACGGGAUUAGAAACCCUAGUAGUCC